GGAGUUAUUAUUUCUCCUUCCUUCUGUCCCACUUCUCUUAACCGAACACAACUCGAAUAUUCUGACUGCGUAAUCUGCGUCCCAUUCAUACUUGGAUUGGCCAAUCAAAACGAAACGCAGCGUUUAACCACCAUUUUUCUAUCAUCAUCAUCAUCAUCAUCAUCAUCUGUGGGUUGUUGUUGGGAACGUAAGAGCAGAGCAGCUAUGGAAACAGCCUCAGGCUAUGGAGCAUUCAUGGAGAAAUUCAUGUUACCACCAACUUCUUCUCCUUCUUCACCAUCUCUUCCCCUCAAUUCACUCACUUUUGCAGUCAAAGACAUAUUUGAUGUGAAAGGGUAUGUAGCUGGUUUUGGGAAUCCUGAUUGGGCAAGGACUCAUCCAGUUGCUACCUCCACUGCUCCAACUGUUUUGGCUCUCCUCACUGCUGGUGCCACUUGUGUUGGUAAAACUGUCAUGGAUGAAAUGGCUUACAGUAUAAACGGCGAGAAUUUUCAUUAUGGUACGCCUAGAAAUCCUUGUGCAGCGGAUCGUGUUCCUGGAGGAUCUUCUAGUGGCUCUGCUGUUGCUGUUGGUGCAUUGCUUGCUGAUUUCGCAUUAGGAACUGAUACUGGAGGAAGUGUAAGAGUGCCUGCAUCAUAUUGUGGGAUUUAUGGUUUUCGUCCUUCUCAUGGUGUUGUCUCAACAUCAGGGGUUAUUCCAAUGGCACAGAGUUUUGAUACUGUGGGUUGGUUUGCUAGGAAUCCAACUAUUUUGAACAGAGUUGGGAAGGUACUUCUACAAUUGCCGGACGUAGCACCUACUAGACCUACCUACAUGAUCAUCGCAGAGGACUGUUUCCAGCUUUCAAGCACUCCAUAUGAUGUAGUUACACAAACUGUUAUUGAAGCAGUUACGAAGUUAUAUGGUGGUAAUGUAUUAAAGAAAGAAAUCCUUGGCGACUAUGUGAAGGCCAACGUUCCAAGUUUAAAGCAUUUCAUGGCCAAAGAGAAUACAGACCAAGUAUAUAACAUUCCAUCACUAGCUGCACUCUCAAGUGCCAUGCGGCAGCUUCAGAGGUAUGAAUUCAAGAAUAAUCAUAGCGAAUGGGUUAGUGCAGUGAAACCUAAUAUAGGUCCUGGAAUUUCAGACCGUGUCUCGGAAGCCCUAAGUUCAACCGCGGAAGACAUUGAUAUUUGUCAAUCUGUAAAAAAAGAGCUGCAUGAUGCUCUUAGUGCUCUUCUUGGGGACUUUGGUGUUCUCAUGAUCCCCACAGUUCCAGGUCCUCCACCAAAACUACAAACAAAUCCAUCUGAAUUAGAUAUUUUUCGUGCAAGGGCUUUCAGCCUGCUAUCCAUUGCUGGAGUAUCUGGAUUUUGCCAGGUAAGCAUACCGCUCGGGGUGUAUAACAAUCUUCCUGUAUCAGUUUCCCUGGUGGCCAGACAUGGUGCAGAUAGAUUUUUGCUUCACCUUGUUGAGAGUCUUUCUAAAAAUACUCAAGAACAGGAAGCAGCCUAGCCGACAGUAUAAGUUACUUUAAUGUGACUGCGAGUAUGUCAUUUCCUCCUUGCCAUUGCCAAGCUCUGCACUUGAGAGAUACGAGAUCAGUUGACCAAGAAAGGUGGGAAAAGCCAAUAUAACAGUGAUUUUCUUUUUCAACUUUUUGUGACCCACGAAUGUUAUAAGAUUAUCUGAAUUAGGUAAUUACUUGCCACAUAAUGUGCAGCUAGCGAUAUGUUAAGACAUGCAUGCAACUGUGAAGUCUUUGGUCUGUCUGUCACAACUCAUAAAGAGUUAAAGACUAUACUCAGUGGCGGAUCCAGGACCCUCCGGCCAGGGGGUCAAAUUUUUCACAUGAACACAUCGAUAAAAAUAUAAUUAAAAACAACUGUAAUAUGUUUAUACAUCAGAAAUUAUACAAAUCAUAGUUGUCCUCUACGCGAUUUCAUAUUCUGAAAUCGUUGAACAAUAAGCUUGAUCCACAUUGCUCACUUGAUGACCUUGCUCUCUUGAUUAAAAAUUUAUCCAUGACCUUCACAAGAUAGAGUAGACUUAAAUUAGAUUCAUACAUGAAGUUAUAUACAAAUCAUUCAUGACAAACUUGAGCAAUUUGAAAACAUUUUCAUUCAAAUUCCAAUCUCAAACCAAUUACUAAAUCAAACCAUUUAAAUCAAACCAAUUACUCUCAUGUAAAAUUGAAAAUAACUGGAAUGUUUUGUAAAAUUAAAAUCAAACCAAUUACCCUCAUGUAAAUCAAACCAAUUACUCUCAAUUCUCAAACCAAUUACUCCCAUUUUAAGCAAACUAGUGUAUCAGUGUAUGUAAAUUGUUUUUUUUUUGGAUAAGCAAAUUAGUAUUAGAAUAGAGUACUAGGGUACUCUAACCCAAAAAAGUACAAGAAAUAUUUACAAAAGAUAGACAAGGAAAACCAACACUAGUAGACAAAAACCAGUGUUGGUAUAGCACUCCAAACCCAGUGUCAUUUACAGAACAAAGCAACACUGAAGGAAGUUCCCUGAUACCUAUUCCACCUUAACUCAAAUGAGAAACUCAUUGUCAUUUAACUCAUAGACUAACAACAAGAGACUUAGCUUUCUUCUAGCUGUUUGCUGUCAAAAUGCAGCAAUAAAGAUCCCAAAACACAACCUGCAAUCUCACGCUUUCUCCAAUCAGACCAAGCACCAUGGGCCAUGAAUCACAAGGCAAAUAAAUUGUAAAAUACAAUAUCAUCUAAAUAUCUAAUCAUCCCAUGACCGAAAGCUCCUGGUCUCUGAAGCAUGGGUACGUGAUGUUGGGCCGCGUACCCGUACCGGGUACGUACCCGGUACGAAUACGCUACGGGUACGCGUACGGUACGUACCCGGUGCGUACCCGUUUCACAAAAAAAAAAAAAAAUCCAGGCCAAAACGACGUCGUUUUGGCCAUUAAAAAAAAAAAAGAAAACCCAAAACACGUGAAAACUGAAAACGCAGAAAAAGAAAUAGAACCUGAGAAGAGGUUCAAGGGUUCACGAACGGAACCAGAGAAGGAAACCAGCGCCGCCCGUCCUCUCCUCCGCCGUCCUCUCCAGCGUGCGCCGCCUCUCCACCGCCGGCCACCACCGCAGAAGCAUUUGAUUCUUACCAUUAGGGUGUAGGACUUGUCCAGAUAUGUAAGAAGAGCAUGCGUUGCAGGCAAGAAACACAUAGGAUGGAGCAACCUCAAUAGGCUGGCCAGCUCUCUUCAUCGGCACCUGCCCACCAAAUUGAGAAGUUUCUUCCUCCUUGAAAGAUGCUGGUAUUAAUGGAGUCCAGAUAGGUCCAGGCGCCACACCAUUAACCCUUAUUCCCUUACUCACCAGCUGAAGGGAGAGACCUCUUGUAAAUGCCACAAUUGCACCCUUGGUGGAUGUGUAGUCCAGUAGUUUUGCAUUUCCCUUGUAUGCAUUCACUGAUGUGGUGUUGAUAAUGCU